rnacentral:rRNA from 1 species
AUUGAACGCUGGCGGCAGGCCUAACACAUGCAAGUCGAGCGGAUGAUGGGAGCUUGCUCCUUGAUUCAGCGGCGGACGGGUGAGUAAUGCCUAGGAAUCUGCCUGGUAGUGGGGGACAACGUUUCGAAAGGAACGCUAAUACCGCAUACGUCCUACGGGAGAAAGCAGGGGACCUUCGGGCCUUGCGCUAUCAGAUGAGCCUAGGUCGGAUUAGCUAGUAGGUGAGGUAAUGGCUCACCUAGGCGACGAUCCGUAACUGGUCUGAGAGGAUGAUCAGUCACACUGGAACUGAGACACGGUCCAGACUCCUACGGGAGGCAGCAGUGGGGAAUAUUGGACAAUGGGCGAAAGCCUGAUCCAGCCAUGCCGCGUGUGUGAAGAAGGUCUUCGGAUUGUAAAGCACUUUAAGUUGGGAGGAAGGGCAGUAAGUUAAUACCUUGCUGUUUUGACGUUACCGACAGAAUAAGCACCGGCUAACUCUGUGCCAGCCGCCGCAGUAACAC